GUAGCUCAGAGGUAGAGCCUGUGUCUCACAAGUGCAAGGCCCUGGGUUCAAAUCCCAAC
rnacentral:tRNA from 1 species